rnacentral:misc_RNA from 1 species
UUUCCGUAGGUGAACCUGCGGAAGGAUCAUUAAAGAAUUCGGGCUUUCGGGCCCUAUUCUCAACCCUAUGUAUGCCUAACUUCGUUGCUUUGGCGGGUUCGCCCGUCGAAGGACCUAAACUCUUGAAUGAUUGCUGUCUGAGUAAAACUUAAUCGUUAAAACUUUCAACAACGGAUCUCUUGGUUAUGGCAUCGAUGAAGAACGCAGC